rnacentral:rRNA from 1 species
AUGCCGCUGGUGGUUGGUUACAGUGCGAUGCCGUUAGGAGGAGACGGUGGUGCGAUGCCGCUAGGAGGAGACGGCGGCGUCGACCACGACAAGAUGGUGCACGAUGAUUGGUGUUGUGAUGAUAGCGGCAAGGUGAAGGUGCAUGACGAUUGGAGAAUCAAGAUUAGGGGCGACAAUGUUAGGUUUAGUCUUGAUUCCAUGUAUUUGCAUGUUUGA